rnacentral:tRNA from 1 species
AGGACUGAAAAUCCUCGUGUCGCUGGUUCGAUUCCGGCUCUGGGCA